rnacentral:tRNA from 1 species
UCCCUGAUAGCUCAGUUGGUAAAGAAUCUGCCUGCAGUGCAGGAGACCCAGGUUCAAUUCCUGGGUAGGGAA